rnacentral:rRNA from 1 species
AACGAACGCUGGCGGCAUGCCUAACACAUGCAAGUCGAACGAAGCCUUCGGGCUUAGUGGCGCACGGGUGCGUAACGCGUGGGAAUCUGCCCUUUGGUUCGGAAUAACAGUUGGAAACGACUGCUAAUACCGGAUGAUGACGAAAUUCCAAAGAUUUAUCGCCAGAGGAUGAGCCCGCGUAGGAUUAGCUGGUUGGUGUGGUAAAGGCGCACCAAGGCGACGAUCCUUAGCUGGUCUGAGAGGAUGAUCAGCCACACUGGGACUGAGACACGGCCCAGACUCCUACGGGAGGCAGCAGUGGGGAAUAUUGGACAAUGGGCGAAAGCCUGAUCCAGCAAUGCCGCGUGAGUGAUGAAGGCCCUAGGGUUGUAAAGCUCUUUUACCCGGGAUGAUAAUGACAGUACCGGGAGAAUAAGCCCCGGCUAACUCCGUGCCUGCAGCCGCCGCCG